UGUAGAUCAAUGGUUUCUAACAUAUAUAAAAUUGAGGGCCUACCAAUAAAUAGUAACCGCUUUUUUGGAGAAAAUGGGUUUACCUUCAAUUUCAAUUCUUGCACAAAUUUGGAGUCAAAUCCAGCAACAGAUCAUCAUAGAUGCUCCAAAGUAGUCCACAAUAUUGUGAUCCAAUAAGAGAUUGAAGGGUUUUUGGUAAAAAAAAUAUGUUUUCUUAUAUAAGGGAAUGUAACGUUUUGGCUAAUUUGCCAAAACAUAUUUCCAAAAUGUCCAUUUCAGUCGAAAUUCUGUGUUUCGGUAGAGUUGACCGUGGUUUCGCUUUGACCUUUGUCAAAAUAGGAACAAGCCGUCAAAAUUUCUGUAUAUUUCAACUUAAUUAUUUAACCUUAUUGAGAACUACCUCUAGUGGAAGUCUAACCUAUUCUUCCUGCAUGGCAUGCCUAUUAUGGCAUCUGAAAAUGUUAUGUUAUUUGACUCUUGAAUAUAUGGACACACACAGAUAACAAGGAUUUCUUAGGCAUCUAUUUAUUAGCCAUACUGGAUUACUGUCAUACUCGCAAGUCAUACAUAACCAUUUUUUUGUGGGUGAAUAACAAAUUCACUACCAAAGAGAGAGAAAUACAAGGAAAACUAUGACUCAACUAUAAGAACAACAAUACAAAGCUGAGCUCUGCCCUUAACUGGGAGAGGCAUGGGGCAGAUACAGAGAUAGGGGGAGACCCCAUGAAUCAACUAUAAGCCUAUUCCUAGGGAACUCGAUGCGUUGGGAGAAGGCCACAAAUAACUUGCUUCUGACAUCAAAGGUGAUGGUGUCCCAAAUCUACUGGAAAGAUUUGGAUUUGGAGGUCCAUCAUUUGAGAUUACGCUCCCUGCCAGAUAUGGUAAAUAGUGGUGCCAAAGCAAGCUUUUACCCACUACAUCACAGCUGGAGUUACUGGCACAGGAGAUGCCCACCCCAAUCCGUUCUCUAUCAAAGAGCAAGAUCCAUAUCCUCCAAGGCCAACAUUUGGCAAGAAGCCCUUUCCAAACAGACGAGGAGAAGGGACAAGUGUAGAAAAGAUGGUCCACAUCUUUAGGGGCAUUCUAGCAAAGGUAGCACAUUGGGAAGCAAGAAUCCAUCUGGGAAUAAGGACUGUAGGGUGGAUGUGUGUAAGCGCCCUCCAGACAUUAAAGCUGUAGCUGGGGAUGUCCCCUUGAACCAAACGAGCUUGUUACCAAGGGGGCACGGGACCCUGAGCUCUGAUGAGAUCCCAAGCAGACUUGGAGCUGAAGAGACGUGGAGGAAGCAGCCCAAAUAAAAACAUCUCCAUUGCUUAUGGACCUUCUGGAGAUGGCCGACAAAGCAUCCCAGACGACAAUAAAGGAGGGGGAGAGUGAGGACAGCGGAGCCCAAUCAUUGUGAGCAAGGAUGUCUGAGACCAUGGCCAACCUAUCAUAGCUCAAACUUUAUUUGCAUGAGUAGAUUACAAGAAGCUAACCCCCACAAUAUAUAUCCCCCAACAAUACAACUAGUAUCCAAAUUGCACUUAAAGAUGCUUUAGAACAAAGGAAAUAACAACCCACACGAGCUUAGAACAACCCCACAAUAAGAAAACCCAGAAAUUACAAUCAAGGAUCAAACCCUAGGAGAGAGAGAAGCCUGCGGCUAGGGUUCUAGGGAAUACCUGCAGUUGGACCUGUAGGUCUCUGUUGGUGCUGAAACUUGGGUCGAUGGGGGUCCUUACGGUGAGGAAGAAAACCCCCAAAGAUGAAUGAAUUCUUUAGAGAGAGAAAAUUGAGAAGAUUCUUCAAGAACAGCAUCAGGGCUUCUUGAGGGAGCCUCAAAUCAGGAUCGAGGGAUCCUUUAAUGGUCUAGAACAGACCCUUGAAAGGGGCUGUCUAAACAGACCUUGGAUCUGGUUGAGAAGAAGGAUCGAUUGGCUUCAAGACUUGACCUUUGCUGAUCGAUUCUGACAAUUCCAGGUUAGGACAGAUCAGGUUCUCUUUGAAUGAUAAUAGAAGUAAAACAGAAACAGCACAGGAAAUUGAAUACUUAAAAUAAAUUAGAAACAAGGGAAGUGGGAGAGGAAGUGGCUAUCUCAGCCUGGGCUUCUCACCUACAGCUAUCCCAGCUGCUCUAAGCAAUUGAUUGCAAACUUUCUUUAUUCAAAUCUGAAAUUAUGAGUACAUAGGCUCCUCUCUUUAUAGAGGGCAGAAUUUCAAUUAAAACACAACUAGGAGCUAGUUUCCAAAUAGGACUAAACACUCCUAGUACAACUAGGACUUCAAAUAGAACUAGGACUAGACUUCUAACUCCAAUAGGGAGUAGAACUAACAAACUAAGAGUCCAUAUAGGACAUUACAACCGAUGGGCCCAAUGGGCCUUUAUUGAAUUAAAACAACUUAAAUAAAAGCACUUUAAUCGAUGGGCCCAAUGGGACCUUAUUAGAUCACUUAAGUCCCCUUACUUAGGUGGGGUGAUAGUGACACUUUGGGCUGGGCCUUUCUUCCUGCGAUAGGUCCUCCCAAAGUGUGGAUCUACAUCACUGGCUCUGUCAUUGACUGAGUGGAUGAGAAGGGGUGCGAGUGGUCCAACCAAAUGCAAGUGGCAGUACCAUCAUCAAUCUGCAGAGGCAAGGAACCUGAAUUUCAGAAUCCUCCUCCAAACCCAGGAGGCAUCUAUAGAAGAGGGGGCAGUCCAAAUGGAGUCAUUUCGAAGAAGUUUAGAAUAGACCCAGUCAACCCAGAUGCUUUUCUUCUUGGUAGGUAGCUUCCAUAUCGGCUUGAGGUUACCACCAAUGUUGACGUCUUUUAUUCUUCUCAAACCAAAGGAAUCCUGAUGGCCUUGGAGAAAUGAAAGGAUGGUCCAUUUUUGAUUGAAUGCUUCUGAAAAGCACUUCAAGGGCUAAAGUGAUAAUGUAGGACAGCCUUGAAGAAUGCCUACUGAAGAGGCAAAGUAGCCGGCAAGGCUACCAUUGACAAGCACUGAAGAGUGUGCUGAAGAUAUGCAGUGGUAGAUCUAGUUGACAGGGGAGGACAUAUUGAGCAUGACAUUUGCAUUUUACAAUGAAGUCCCAUCUCUAGGAGUUAAGGCUUUGUGAAUAUCAAACUUCAUAAGAGCAGCAUGGGGCUGGUUCUUUCUUUCAAAGCCUCUGAGAAUCUCAGUGCAGAGGAGAAUGUUAUCUGAAAUGCUUCUUCCUGGGGAUUGCAGAAUGAAAAUCAGUCACUAGGGAGUCAACCACCUCUGACAUACCCUUUAUUGACUAGUCCUCAUGAACAUUAAUUUCUCUAAUGUCUUAUUUUUUCUUGAUAAUUCACAAAGAGAGUAUAUUAACAUGGAACAUAAGAUACACUGUGCUGUUCUCAAUAUCUUGUUCUCUGCUGUUGCUUUCAUGGUUAAGAAUGAAUUUUGUGCAUACCAGUAAUCCAAGGUUUUUUUUUUUAAAUAAAUAAAUUGUAUUGAUUCCACAUACAUAAUAACCCUGUGAAGAAUAUCACAAGAUCAUAUUUCUGAGGUAAUCCGUAAAUGUUGGAUUCUUAUUGAAUGCCUCUAAGUAAAUACAAACUUAUGUUUCCCUCCAAAAAAAA